rnacentral:rRNA from 1 species
AGCAGUCGCCGCGGGAAUACGUAGGGUGCAAGCGUCAAUCGGAAUUACUGGGCGUAAAGCGUGCGCAGGCGGUUUCGUAAGACAGAUGUGAAACCCCCGGGCUUAACCUGGGAAUUGCAGUGGAUACUGGGUCACUAGAGUGUGGUAGAGGAUAGUGGAAUUUCCGGUGUAGCAGUGAAAUGCGUAGAGAUCGGAAGGAACAUCUGUGGCGAAGGCGACUAUCUGGGCCAACACUGACACUGAGGCACGAAAGCGUGGGGAGCAAACAGGAUUAGAUACCCCUGUAGUCCCUGUCUCUUAUAC